UACGUAGGGAGCAAGCGUUUGUCCGGAAUCAUUGGGCGUAAAGAGCGCGUAGGCGGUCCGGUAAGUCGGUUGUGAAAACUGGGGGGCUCAACCCUCAGAGGCCGACCGAUACUGCCGGGCUAGAGUCCGGAAGAGGCGAGUGGAAUUCCUGGUGUAGCGAUGAAAUGCGCAGAUAUCAGGAGGAACACCAAUGGCGAAGGCAGCUCGCUGGGACGGUAGCUGACGCUGAGGUGCGAAAGCGUGGGGAGCAAACAGG
rnacentral:rRNA from 1 species